rnacentral:lncRNA from 1 species
AACAUGGUAUUAAAGCCACCAUCAGGCAUCUGUUUCUAGCCGUGGUAGUUGCUCGUUCUUCUUUUUCUUGUCUAGUCAUCGCUGGUGGUAGUUGUAGAAGUUUUCUGUUUGUUUUUUCUACUGUUUGUUUCUAGAGUUCUUCCCAUGGUGAAUUCGACUGAUUCUUUAGUUGAUUUCAACAAUCCGUUGUACUUGCAUCCUUCUGACACUCUAGGUGCGUUGCUUGUUUCCCAUCAUUUUUAUGGUAUCAAGAAUUACAGUGUUUGGCGUCGAUCUGUGUGGAUUACAUUGUUCGUCAAAAAUUAGUU